AGUUUGAUCCUGGCUCAGGAUGAACGCUAGCUACAGGCUUAACACAUGCAAGUCGAGGGGCAGCAUGGUCUUAGCUUGCUAAGGCUGAUGGCGACCGGCGCACGGGUGAGUAACACGUAUCCAACCUGCCGUCUACUCUUGGCCAGCCUUCUGAAAGGAAGAUUAAUCCAGGAUGGGAUCAUGAGUUCACAUGUCCGCAUGAUUAAAGGUAUUUUCCGGUAGACGAUGGGGAUGCGUUCCAUUAGAUAGUAGGCGGGGUAACGGCCCACCUAGUCAACGAUGGAUAGGGGUUCUGAGAGGAAGGUCCCCCACAUUGGAACUGAGACACGGUCCAAACUCCUACGGGAGGCAGCAGUGAGGAAUAUUGGUCAAUGGGCGAUGGCCUGAACCAGCCAAGUAGCGUGAAGGAUGACUGCCCUAUGGGUUGUAAACUUCUUUUAUAAAGGAAUAAAGUCGGGUAUGCAUACCCGUUUGCAUGUACUUUAUGAAUAAGGAUCGGCUAACUCCGUGCCAGCAGCCGCGGUAAUACGGAGGAUCCGAGCGUUAUCCGGAUUUAUUGGGUUUAAAGGGAGCGUAGAUGGAUGUUUAAGUCAGUUGUGAAAGUUUGCGGCUCAACCGUAAAAUUGCAGUUGAUACUGGAUGUCUUGAGUGCAGUUGAGGCAGGCGGAAUUCGUGGUGUAGCGGUGAAAUGCUUAGAUAUCACGAAGAACUCCGAUUGCGAAGGCAGCCUGCUAAGCUGCAACUGACAUUGAGGCUCGAAAGUGUGGGUAUCAAACAGGAUUAGAUACCCUGGUAGUCCACACGGUAAACGAUGAAUACUCGCUGUUUGCGGUAUACGGCAAGCGGCCAAGCGAAAGCGUUAAGUAUUCCACCUGGGGAGUACGCCGGCAACGGUGAAACUCAAAGGAAUUGACGGGGGCCCGCACAAGCGGAGGAACAUGUGGUUUAAUUCGAUGAUACGCGAGGAACCUUACCCGGGCUUAAAUUGCACUCGAAUGAUCCGGAAACGGUUCAGCUAGCAAUAGCGAGUGUGAAGGUGCUGCAUGGUUGUCGUCAGCUCGUGCCGUGAGGUGUCGGCUUAAGUGCCAUAACGAGCGCAACCCUUGUUGUCAGUUACUAACAGGUGAUGCUGAGGACUCUGACAAGACUGCCAUCGUAAGAUGUGAGGAAGGUGG
rnacentral:rRNA from 1 species